CGCUGGCGGCGUGCCUAAUACAUGCAAGUCGAACGGUCUUUCUAUGGAAGCUUGCUUCCACUGAGAAGAUAGUGGCGAACGGGUGAGUAACACGUGGGUAACCUGCCCAUAAGAGGGGGAUAACAUCCGGAAACGGGUGCUAAUACCGCAUAGUUUUCUUGAUCGCAUGAUUGAGAAAGGAAAGACGGCCUUUGUGCUGUCGCUUAUGGAUGGACCCGCGGCGUAUUAGUUAGUUGGUGAGGUAAUGGCUCACCAAGACGAUGAUACGUAGCCGACCUGAGAGGGUGAUCGGCCACAUUGGGACUGAGACACGGCCCAAACUCCUACGGGAGGCAGCAGUAGGGAAUCUUCCGCAAUGGACGAAAGUCUGACGGAGCAACGCCGCGUGAGUGAAGAAAGGUUUUCGGAUCGUAAAACUCUGUUGUCAGAGAAGAACAAGUUGGAGAGUAACUGCUCCAGCCUUGACGGUAUCUGACCAGAAAGCCACGGCUAACUACGUGCCAGCCGCCGC
rnacentral:rRNA from 1 species